rnacentral:rRNA from 1 species
ACUUAAAUUGAAGAGUUUGAUCAUGGCUCAGAUUGAACGCUGGCGGCAGGCCUAACACAUGCAAGUCGAGCGGUAGCACAGAGAGCUUGCUCUCGGGUGACGAGCGGCGGACGGGUGAGUAAUGUCUGGGAAACUGCCUGAUGGAGGGGGAUAACUACUGGAAACGGUAGCUAAUACCGCAUAAUGUCGCAAGACCAAAGUGGGGGACCUUCGGGCCUCAUGCCAUCAGAUGUGCCCAGAUGGGAUUAGCUAGUAGGUGGGGUAAUGGCUCACCUAGGCGACGAUCCCUAGCUGGUCUGAGAGGAUGACCAGCCACACUGGAACUGAGACACGGUCCAGACUCCUACGGGAGGCAGCAGUGGGGAAUAUUGCACAAUGGGCGCAAGCCUGAUGCAGCCAUGCCGCGUGUGUGAAGAAGGCCUUCGGGUUGUAAAGCACUUUCAGCGGGGAGGAAGGCGGUGAGGUUAAUAACCUCACCGAUUGACGUUACCCGCAGAAGAAGCACCGGCUAACUCCGUGCCAGCAGCCGCGGUAAUACGGAGGGUGCAAGCGUUAAUCGGAAUUACUGGGCGUAAAGCGCACGCAGGCGGUCUGUCAAGUCGGAUGUGAAAUCCCCGGGCUUAACCUGGGAACUGCAUUCGAAACUGGCAGGCUAGAGUCUUGUAGAGGGGGGUAGAAUUCCAGGUGUAGCGGUGAAAUGCGUAGAGAUCUGGAGGAAUACCGGUGGCGAAGGCGGCCCCCUGGACAAAGACUGACGCUCAGGUGCGAAAGCGUGGGGAGCAAACAGGAUUAGAUACCCUGGUAGUCCACGCCGUAAACGAUGUCGAUUUGGAGGUUGUGCCCUUGAGGCGUGGCUUCCGGAGCUAACGCGUUAAAUCGACCGCCUGGGGAGUACGGCCGCAAGGUUAAAACUCAAAUGAAUUGACGGGGGCCCGCACAAGCGGUGGAGCAUGUGGUUUAAUUCGAUGCAACGCGAAGAACCUUACCUGGUCUUGACAUCCACAGAACUUAGCAGAGAUGCUUUGGUGCCUUCGGGAACUGUGAGACAGGUGCUGCAUGGCUGUCGUCAGCUCGUGUUGUGAAAUGUUGGGUUAAGUCCCGCAACGAGCGCAACCCUUAUCCUUUGUUGCCAGCGGUCCGGCCGGGAACUCAAAGGAGACUGCCAGUGAUAAACUGGAGGAAGGUGGGGAUGACGUCAAGUCAUCAUGGCCCUUACGACCAGGGCUACACACGUGCUACAAUGGCAUAUACAAAGAGAAGCGACCUCGCGAGAGCAAGCGGACCUCAUAAAGUAUGUCGUAGUCCGGAUUGGAGUCUGCAACUCGACUCCAUGAAGUCGGAAUCGCUAGUAAUCGUAGAUCAGAAUGCUACGGUGAAUACGUUCCCGGGCCUUGUACACACCGCCCGUCACACCAUGGGAGUGGGUUGCAAAAGAAGUAGGUAGCUUAACCUUCGGGAGGGCGCUUACCACUUUGUGAUUCAUGACUGGGGUGAAGUCGUAACAAGGUAACCGUAGGGGAACCUGCGGUUGGAUCACCUCCUUACCUUAAAGAA